GGCGGAGAAGAGGAAGACAUGAUCGAACCAGAGAUCCCUGAUACCAGAUUGAUAGGAAUCAGAUCCCUACCGAGGUGUGGGCGUAGAUUGUAGGCGUGGGAAGGGGGUGGUCGGAGCUGGAUGCGCGCCCGACGGCUCUUGGGCGCCGUGGUCGCGCGAGGGGAGGAGGAACGUGGCGCAAGGAAAGGAACAGGGGCGGCUAGGGUUUAGGUCUCCCGGCUCCCUCAAGGAAGGCGAGCAGAUUGAUUGCUCUUGCUUGCCAAACCAAGUACUUUACAAUGUUUAUAAAGGAAUAAAGCAGAUAACUGGGCCGAGCCCAUCUAAUCUCCUGCGCCUAGCCACUAGCGGGCCUCCUCCUAGCAUAUUGCACGCCUGUCAUAACAGCAUUGUUUCUCAUUUCUUUCAGUCUUCUUAACAUCAAAGAUCGGUAAUAUGUAAAACACACAAACAAAACUAUGGAGCUGAAAUUUGCAUUUUGGUUAAAUCUGAUAGAAUUUUCUUCAUAUACAGGGCAUCAGUGAUGUGAUGCCAUUCACAUAUCAUCUUAAUAUUGUGUAAACUUGUAUAACUGAAGUUGAGUCUUCUCCUAUGCUUUUAGCAAGUUUUUCCUUAUUAUCCUUUCAUGGCAUUUAUUCUAUCUCUCAAGCUCCUAUCAGAACCUUUUUUUGUUUACUAAUUUAUGUUCAGCCUCAUGAUGUUGAUGCUCUAGCUGUACCAACCAUGUGAAUCAUUGCACAGAUGACUAGCACAUCCAAUUAUGCAUUGUGUGCUCCAAACAAGUUAUUCUUUGAACCGAUGUUAAAAAAGAUUCUUGAAUCUAAUUUUUCUUUUGAUGGUAGAGCAGAAUGAAGCUUUGAAGCAUGUUGGGUGACAGAAAUUGUUCUAGCUAUCAAUUACUGUCCACAGACCACAGGAUAUGUACAACUUCCUGAUGGAUUCUGUGGAGGAUCUUGGUGAGUAAAUCACAUACUCAUGAGAGACAGAGCCCUAGGGACGCUGGCCCUCUUGUUCUUGCCAGGGAUAAGCUUGUGGAUGGAUCUGGUGAACCUUCUUUCGUCCUAAACUGCGAUAUCAUUUUGAAUA